rnacentral:rRNA from 2 species
UACGUAGGGUGCGAGCGUUAAUCGGAAUUACUGGGCGUAAAGCGUGCGCAGGCGGUUUUGUAAGCCAGAUGUGAAAUCCCCGGGCUUAACCUGGGAAUGGCAUUUGGGACUGCAAGGCUUGAGUGCGGCAGAGGAGACUGGAAUUCCCGGUGUAGCAGUGAAAUGCGUAGAUAUCGGGAGGAAUACCGAUGGCGAAGGCAGGUCUCUGGGCUGACACUGACGCUCAUGCACGAAAGCGUGGGGAGCAAACAGG